CUUCAUUAUGGGGGUGUCUCCGACUGCCUUCAAGAGCACGUCAACUAAAAGAGAUGGGGGAAGGUUACAAAAAUAGCGGAACAAAAUAAAGCAGACUAAAAUGGGCGAGAAAACAAACCAAACACACAGGCCUUUAAUCACAGGGGUCUUUCUAAACUACACCAUCAUGACGACGAAAGGGUCGUCUUAAAAACAACAUUUCCCCUAUGAUGGCAUUAGAUGGCAUAUUGUAUCUCCUGUAUCAGUAACGCUCUGUUGUGCCGAGGACUCAUAUUUGUGUAUUUCUGUGGGAGCUUCUGCGUUGUCAGACAUCCUCUGG